AAACCAACAGGGAUUGCCUCAGUAACGGCGAGUGAAGCGGCAAAAGCUCAAAUUUGAAAUCUAGCACUUUCAGUGUUCGAGUUGUAAUUUGAAGAAGGUAACUUUGGUUUUGGCUCUUGUCUAUGUUCCUUGGAACAGGACGUCACAGAGGGUGAGAAUCCCGUGCGAUGAGAUGCCCAAUUCCAUGUAAAGUGCUUUCGAAGAGUCGAGUUGUUUGGGAAUGCAGCUCUAAGUGGGUGGUAAAUUCCAUCUAAAGCUAAAUAUUGGCGAGAGACCGAUAGCGAACAAGUACAGUGAUGGAAAGAUGAAAAGAACUUUGAAAAGAGAGUGAAAAAGUACGUGAAAUUGUUGAAAGGGAAGGGCUUGAGAUCAGACUUGGUAUUUUGCGUUCCCUUCCUUUUUGGUUGGGUUCCUCGCAGUUUACUGGGCCAGCAUCGGUUUGGAUGGUAGGAUAAUGACAUUGGAAUGUAGCUUUACUUCGGUGAAGUGUUAUAGACUUUGUUGAUACUGCCUAUCUAGACCGAGGACUGCGUCUUUGACUAGGAUGCUGGCGUAAUGAUCUUAAGCCGCCCGUCU
rnacentral:rRNA from 1 species